CAGUAGCCGCGGUAAUACAGAGGGUGCAAGCGUUAAUCGGAAUUACUGGGCGUAAAGCGCGCGUAGGUGGUUUGUUAAGUUGGAUGUGAAAUCCCCGGGCUCAACCUGGGAACUGCAUCCAAAACUGGCAAGCUAGAGUAGGGCAGAGGGUGGUGGAAUUUCCUGUGUAGCGGUGAAAUGCGUAGAUAUAGGAAGGAACACCAGUGGCGAAGGCGACCACCUGGGCUCAUACUGACACUGAGGUGCGAAAGCGUGGGGAGCAAACAGGAUUAGAGACCCGUGUAGUCCCUGUCUCUUAUAA
rnacentral:rRNA from 1 species